AUUCCAGCUCCAAUAGCGUAUAUUAAAGUUGUUGUGGUUAAAAAGCUCGUAGUUGGAUUUCUGGUUGGACCGCGAUGCCGGACUCGCAAGGGUUCGUGAUUGUUGUGGUUUCCUUCCAUCCUCAGGUUUGCGCGUGCUGGCCUUAACUGGUCGGUGGGUGUGGUCCUGUCGUUUACUGUGAACAAAUUAGAGUGUUCAAAGCAAGGUGUACUUGAAUACAUUAGCAUGGAAUAAUAAGAUAGGACUUUGGUGGUUCUUUUUGAUAUUUUGUUGGUUUGCACGCCAAAGUAAUGAUUAAUAGGAGCAGUUGGGGGUAUUCGUAUUCAAUUGUCAGAGGUGAAAUUCUUGGAUUUAUAGAAGACGAACUACUGCGAAAGCAUUUACCAAGGAUGUUUUCAUCG
rnacentral:rRNA from 1 species